ACACCCCAUGGCCGCAGCCUGGAACACCUGUGUAGCAGGUCACAUGGGGAAGGGCAGCUGGACCUCCAGACAGCAUGCUGUAAGGCUGUAGCCGGAACACCUGUGUAGCAGGUCACAUGGGGAAGGCCAGCUGGACCUCCAGACAGCACGCCCCAUGGCCACAGCACGCCCCAUGGCCGCAGCCCGGAACACCUGUGUAGCAGGUCACAUGGGGAAGGGCAGCUGGACCUCCAGACAGCACGCUGCAAGGCUGUAGCCCGGAACACCUGUGUAGGAGGUCACAUGGUUAGGACAGCUGGACCUCCAGACAGCAUGCUGCAAGGCUGUAGCCCGGAACACCUGUGUAGGAGGUAAGGACAGCUGGACCUCCAGACAGCACACCCCAUGGCCAUGUCCCCGCCCCUGGAGAGAAGUUUUUCUCAGAGCUGGAUUGGCCUCAUGGGCCCUGUAUCAAGCAAGUACGGAAUGACCCCUUAGGCGAUGAGGCCUGUCUGGAUGGCUUUGUUUUCAGGGGCAUCACUUUGUUAAGACUUGAGGAUCUAAGGAUCUUGGUGAAAAAUGAGAAGAAUAUCAAAUACAUAGUGUGACAGCCCCUGCUGUGGACAGGAGAGGAAAGCUUGGGCAGUGUGAACAGACGGGGACAGUUAUGAGAGUGACCGUGCCAGAGCAGGGCAACGGGCAGCAUUCGCGGUUGGGGAGAGCGAGUGAAUGUGCCAAUAGGUGAAUGUGCCAUCAGAAGCAGAAGCUAGUGAGGAAAGGGACCAUGUCCUUCUUCUGCAUCCGGGAUCAGGCAGUAUCCAGAACACAGGAAGUAUUCAAGAAGAGUUGAUUGAAUCCGUAAACAAACGAGUGCAUAAGAGAAUGACAGGAAAGUACAUGCACGGCAGGACCGGCCUGCAGGGUCCCGUGCACUAAGCUAGCUUGUGACCAUGGCAAUCGCUGGCCACAUGUGCCAUUCCAGAGAGCCCUAGGGCUGGGAACAUCUUUGGGAGUCCAG
rnacentral:lncRNA from 1 species